GAGGGUGUAGCUCAGCCGGUAGAGCAGCGGCCUUUUAAGCCGUUGGCCGAGAGUUCGAUUCUCUCCACCCUCA
rnacentral:tRNA from 1 species